rnacentral:rRNA from 1 species
CGUGUAGGCGGAGGAGCAAGUCAGAUGUGAAAUCCCGGGGCUUAACCCCGGAACUGCAUUUGAAACUGUUCCCCUUGAGUAUCGGAGAGGCAAGCGGAAUUCCUAGUGUAGCGGUGAAAUGCGUAGAUAUUAGGAGGAACACCAGUGGCGAAGGCGGCUUGCUGGACGACAACUGACGCUGAGGCGCGAAAGCGUGAGGAGCAAACA